rnacentral:lncRNA from 1 species
AGAGAAAGCAAACAUCAGCGUCAUCUCUGCUGAGAAGAGGAGACCAAUAAAAACAGUAUUAAUUUACAAAAUCACAGCAGAUACAGAGGACUGGGGAAACGAGGGCCUCUUGGAGAUUUUAGAACACCUUGAAAGAUUGCAGAACUCAGAGGUUCCUAUGGUGUCCCAGCAAACAAAACAGACCAUGAAACAUGAAGAAAUCACAUAAUUAGUUCAUGUUUGUAUAGGGCUUUGAGCAGGCAAAUUUCCAGAAGAAUGGCUGCUUUUAAUAACUCAUCACGGAGCACGAAGGCAUUAGAGGUUAUGGAAUGAGAGCCUCCCAACAACAUCAAUAAAGGGAAAAGAUCCAAGAAGCAGCAUUGGAGGACUUCAUGGCAGAGAAGCUAAGCAUGAACAUCACUCCACACCGAUUGUUGCUCUAGGUGCUGGCAGCUGUGCACCAAUGGUAUGCUGUGAGGAGGAAACAAGGCAUGCAAGCAAAGUCACAGAGAAAGAACCCCGCCCCUCCCCGUUACCCAGAGUUUUCAGAACCUCCAACAGGGGCAACUUAACUAUUUCACUCCAGGGGGUGUAAGGAAUGAAUCAACAGGAACUCAGCAAUUCCGUCUGAUCAAGGAAAAAUGCAAGUAAGCAUGCUUUUGUCUAACACUGCAGUUUAUUAGAUUUAAGCACACACAGACAUAAGCAAUAGAUUUAGAACAUCCCAGAUAUUUACCUAUAUUCUGAGACGGUACUGAGUAAUCAACAACAGGUCAGCAUCAGG